rnacentral:rRNA from 1 species
GGAUUCCCCUAGUAACUGCGAGUGAAGCGGGAAAAGCUCAAAUUUAAAAUCUGGCAGUCUCUGGCUGUCCGAGUUGUAAUCUAGAGAAGUAAUGCCCGUGCUGGACCGUGUAUAAGUCUCCUGGGAUGGGGCGUCAUAGAGGGUGAGAAUCCCGUCUUUGACACGGACUACCAGUGCAUUGUGGUAUGCUCUCAAAGAGUCGAGUUGUUUGGGAAUGCAGCUCAAAAUGGGUGGUAAAUUCCAUCUAAAGCUAAAUAUUGGCGAGAGACCGAUAGCGAACAAGUACCGUGAGGGAAAGAUGAAAAGAACUUUGGAAAGAGAGUUAAACAGUACGUGAAAUUGCUGAAAGGGAAACGCUUGAAGUCAGUCGCGUUGGCUGGAAAUCAGCCUUGCUUUUGCAUGGUGUACUUUCUGGUUGACGGGUCAGCAUCAAUUUUGACCGCUGGAAAAAGGCCUGGGGAAUGUGGCAGCUUCGGCUGUGUUAUAGCCCCUAGUCACAUACAGUGGUUGGGAUUGAGGAACUCAGCACGCCGCAAGGCCGGGUUUCGACCACGAUCGUGCUUAGGAUGCUGGCAUAAUGGCUUUAAGCGACCCGUCUUGAAACACGGACCAAGGAGUCUAACAUGCCUGCGAGUAUUUGGGUGGAAAACUCAAGUGCGUAAUGAAAGUGAAAGUUGAGAUCCCUGUCGUGGGGAGCAUCGACGCCCGGACCAGAACUUUUGGGACGGAUCCGCGGUGGAGCAUGUAUGUUGGGACCCGAAAGAUGGUGAACUAUGCCUGAAUAGGGUGAAGCCAGAGGAAACUCUGGUGGAGGCUCGUAGCGAUUCUGACGUGCAAAUCGAUCGUCAAAUUUGGGUAUAGGGGCGAAAGACUAAUCGAAC